GGAGUUGUAGUUUUGCUGCCCAGCGGAGCUCCCUUUUCCCCGUCACGCCCCUUCUCGAAGUGAAGACUCACUGCCCUUUAGGAAAGCGGUGCCCUGACCACCUCCGUUUGCCAUUUGUGUUAGCUGAGAGGUCGUCUUUUGGGGGCGGACAAGCCAAGGCUGGAGGAGGGCUGAAACUACAUUUCCCAGGGUGCUCAGCGAAGGCACACACAGCCUCGCCUUAAAAAGUCCCCUGCGCCGAGCGCCGGGAGGAGGCAGGUAUGCUGUAGGUCCCUGUGGGUCCCAGCAUUUGCACACCCCAGUACCGCAGCUGCUUCCCAGCCCACACUUUUGGACCCGCGGGGACUGAGCUGAGCCGCUGGCUGGUUUCUGAUAGGAAGCUCCUCAACUUUGGCCAGAAUGGAGCAGCCGAAGGGGGUUGAUUGGACAGUCAUCAUCCUGACAUGCCAGUACAAGGACAGCGUCGAGGUCUUCCAGAAAGAGUUGGAGAUACGGCAGAAGCGAGAGCAGAUCCCCGCCAGUACGCUGCUGUUGGCUGUGGAGGACCCUGAGGUUCAUGUGGGCAGUGGAGGAGCCACCCUCAACGCCCUGCUGGUGGCUGCUGAGCACCUGAGUGCCCGCGCAGGCUUCACUGUGGUCACAUCAGAUGUUCUGCACUCGGCCUGGAUCCUCAUCCUGCACAUGGGCCGAGAUUUCCCCUUUGAUGACUGUGGCCGGGCCUUCACCUGCCUCCCUGUGGAGAACCCGCAGGCCCCCGUGGAGGCCGUGGUCUGCAACCUGGACUGCUUGCUGGACAUCAUGAGCCAUCGGCUGGGCCCAGGCUCCCCGCCAGGUGUGUGGGUCUGCAGCACGGACAUGCUGCUGUCUGUUCCUCCAAACCCAGGGAUCAACUGGGACGGCUUCCGGGGAGCUAGAGUGAUCGCCCUUCCAGGGAGCACGGCCUAUGCCCGGAACCAUGGCGUCUACCUCACUGACUCCCAGGGCUUCGUUUUGGACAUUUACUACCAGGGCACUGAGGCAGAGAUACAACGAUGUGCCAGGCCUGAUGGGCAGGUGCCACUGGUUUCGGGGAUUGUCUUCUUCUCUGUGGAGACUGCUGAGCACCUCCUGGCCACCCACGUGAGCCCACCUCUGGAUGCCUGCACCUACAUGGGCUUGGACUCUGGAGCCCAGCCAGUCCAGCUGUCUCUGUUUUUUGACAUCCUGCUCUGCAUGGCCCGGAACGUGAGAAGGGAGGACUUCCUGGUGGGGCGGCCCCCAGAGAUGGGGCGAGGUGACAUGGAGACCGAGGGUUAUCUGCGUGGUGCCCGGGCUGAGCUGUGGAGGGAGCUUCGUGAUCAGCCCCUCACACUGGCCUAUGUCCCUGACGGCAGCUACAACUACAUGACCAACUCAGCCAGUGAGUUCCUGCACAGUCUCACAUUCCCAGGGGCUUCUGGGGCCCAGGUCGUGCACUCCCAGGUGGAGGAGCAGCAGCUGCUGGGAGCUGGGAGCUCUGUGGUCAGCUGCCUGCUGGAGGGCCCCGUCCAACUGGGUCCUGGGAGUGUUCUGCAGCACUGCCACCUGCGGGGCCCCAUUCACAUCGGCACCGGCUGCUUUGUGAGCGGCCUGGAUGCGGCCCAGUCCGAGGCACUGCACAGCCUGGAGCUGCAUGACCUCGUCCUGCAGGGACACCACUUGCAGUUGCACGGCGCCCCUAGCCGGGCCUUCACCCUCGUUGGCCGUUUGGACAGCUGGGAAAGACAGGGGGCAGGAACGUAUCUCAACAUGUCUUGGAGUAAAUUCUUCCAGAAGACAGGCAUUCGAGAUUGGGACCUGUGGGACCCAGACACGCCCCCUACUGAGCGCUGCCUUCUCAGUGCCCGUCUCUUUCCCGUGCUCCAUCCCUUGAGGGCCCUGGGGCCCCAGGACAUGCUGUGGAUGCUGGACCCUCAGGAGGAUGGGGGUAAAGCCCUGCGGGCUUGGAGAGAUUCCUGGCGUCUGUCCUGGGAGCAGCUGCAGCCAUGCCUGGACCGGGCUGCUACGCUGGCCUCCCGCCGGGACCUGUUCUUCCGCCAGGCCCUGCAUAAGGCGCGGCACGUGCUGGAGGCCCGGCAGGAUCUCAGCCUGCGCCCGCUAAUCCGGGCUGCUGUCCGUGAAGGCUGUCCCGGGCCCCUGAUGGCCACGCUGGACCAGGUGGCAGCUGGUGCAGGAGACCCUGGUGUGGCGGCCCGGGCACUGGCCUGUGUGGCAGAUAUACUGGGCUGCAUGGCAGAGGGCCGAGGCGGCUUACGGAGUGGGCCAGCUGCCAACCCUGAGUGGGUGCGGCCCUUCUCGUACCUGGAGUGUGGAGACCUGGCUGGGGGCGUGGAGGCGCUCGCCCAGGAGCGGGAAAAAUGGCUGAGCAGACCAGCCUUGCUAGUACGAGCUGCACGUCACUACGAGGGGGCUGGGCAGAUCCUCAUCCGCCAGGCUGUCAUGUCAGCCCAGCACUUUGUCUCCACGGAGCCAGUGGAGCUGCCGGCACCCGGGCAAUGGGUAGUGGCUGAGUGCCCAGCUCGAGUGGAUUUCUCUGGGGGCUGGAGUGACACGCCACCCCUUGCCUAUGAGCAUGGUGGGGCAGUGCUGGGCCUGGCCGUGCGAGUGGAUGGCCGCCGGCCCAUUGGGGCCAGGGCUCGUCGCAUCCCAGAGCCUGAGCUGUGGCUGGCUGUGGGACCUCAGCAUGACAAGAUGGCCAUGAAGAUAGUGUGCCGGAGCCUGGACGACCUCCAGGAUUACUGCCAGCCCCACGCCCCAGGGGCUCUCUUGAAGGCGGCCUUCAUCUGUGCGGGGAUUUUGAGUGUCCACUCCGAGCUUUCCCUGAGUGAGCAGCUGCUGUGCACCUUCGGGGGCGGCUUUGAGCUACAAACCUGGUCUGAGCUGCCCCAUGGGUCCGGCCUCGGCACUAGCAGCAUCCUGGCGGGGGCUGCCCUGGCUGCCCUACAGCGGGUCGCAGGCCGGGCAGUGGGUACAGAGGCCCUGAUCCACGCAGUGCUGCACCUGGAGCAGGUGCUCACCACAGUUACACAUUAGGUCUACUACAGAGCUUAGGCCUUGUGCAUUUUAAGCUUGGCUCUGGAAUAAAGGCCCUUCCCUUGCUGGGCUCAUCUUGCUCCCAGAACUCAGGCAGAAGCUGCACAGCUAAGCUGGCCCAACUGAAGUUGAGGGAAGCUGUCUUCCCAUGCUGGUCUCAGCCAGGGAUGCAGGACCAGGAGCCUGGACUGGGAGAGGGAAGUUGCUCCACAUAGGCUCCAACAGUGACAGGCCCCUGGCUGUCUCAGGAGGUGGCUGGCAGGACCAAGUGGGUGGCCUAAUGCCUGGCAUCAAGGUGGGGCGCUCCCGGGCUCAGCUGCCACUGAAAGUAGAAGUGGAAGAGAUCACUGUGCCUGCGGGCUUUGUCCAGAAACUCAAUGACCACCUGCUCCUGGUGUACACUGGCAAGACCCGCCUGGCCCGGAAUCUGCUGCAGGAUGUUCUGAGAAGCUGGUAUGCCCGGCUGCCUCCUGUUGUGCAGAAUGCCCACAAUCUGGUUCAGCAAACGGAGGAGUGUGCUGAGGCCUUCCGCCAAGGGAGUCUUCCUCGGCUGGGCCAGUGCCUGACAUCAUACUGGGAACAGAAGAAGCUCAUGGCUCCAGGCUGUGAGCCCUUGGCUGUGCGGCAUAUGAUGGAUGCCCUGGCCCCCCACGUGCAUGGCCAAAGCCUGGCAGGGGCAGGUGGUGGGGGCUUUCUCUAUCUAUUGACCAAGGAGCCGCGGCAAAAGGAGGCUCUGGAGGCUGUGCUGGCCAAGACUGAGGGCCUCGGGAACUACAGUGUCCACCUGGUAGAAGUGGACACUCAGGGCCUGAGCCUGCAGCUCCUGGGGACGGAGACCUCAACCGGAUGCUCCUUCUGAUGAGGCUUAUGCCUCCGCAAGAGGAGUAAGCCUGGAGCUGCGCAGCACUUCUCCUCCCCCGUAGGAAGGCCCAGUCUUCUACUCUCCACCCUCUUCUUUGUGAAUCUGCUUCCAAAGCAAGCUGACCUGAGCUCAGGCCCAGCCCUUUCUAAAACUUGGUGAAGCGAAGACAGUGCUUGGGAGCAGGACUGUGACCUUCUGAUUGACAGUGGUCUAGCCUAGGCUUGGCCUCUGCGUUAUCUGAACAUAGGAAGGUCCUUAGCUCAGUGUCCCCAUGCCGUUUACAAAUCUGAUGGCCCAGCUUGGGCUUUGGCCUUCUCAUUCUCCAUGAGGGCCUGGAAGAAGGGGGCGAGAACCAGUCUUGGCGGAUGGCUGAGCUCCUUUGGUAAGGCUGAUGCUGAAGAGGCCCUGUGAGGAUUUCCAGUGGCCUUUAGACGUCAGGCUUUUGUCUGAGUAGAGACUUCGUGUUCAGCACUCACUCCCAGGCUGACUUGAUGGGGGAGUGGGAGCAGGGUGAGGGUCCAUACUCAGGUCUGUGGCAGAGAACCAGUGUGGUCCUGCAGGAAGUCAAUGCAACCCUAUGGACUCUGCCGUGUGACCCAGUGCCUGCGGGCCCUAAGUUCUCAGGACUGCAUACUUCUUGGAAUAAAUUCAUUCUGCCCUUCAA